CUUCCUCUAUCCAUCUCCUCUUCUGAAAUCUCCAUUCACAAUUCGAAUCCUCAAAUCCUCCGCGUCUCGAGGAGCCCAGAUGCUUCUACUCCAGCCCCGCGCAGUCCCUGCGCCCGCUCUGCGAGAAAGGCCACCGCCACCUCGGCCUCGGCCUCGCCGGCGACUGGUGCCGCCUCCUCUCGCCGCGGCGUCCGGCUCCAUCGCCGUCAACUCCGACGAGGAUGCCUUCACCAGGUGCUCCGGGUACCUGUUCGAGGAGGGCGCGGCCACCGAGUCGGAGCUCCCCAGCGCGUACGUCCUCCCUGGCAUCGCCGCCGUGUACCGCCGCCGCCCGCUCCUCGUACUCCGUCGCUCACUGCAGAUCGGCACCUCCUUCGGCUGGUGGUUCGCGCUGCGCUACCUCGACCGCGUCAACGAGCGCGCCGACGACAUGUUCGAGCUUCGGGCGGCUCAGCUCAGGAGGAUAUUACUGGAACUUGGCCCAGUCUGUUUCAUUUCCCAAUGCCUGGUUGUUCAUGAGUGUGUCCCUUUUGUGAUGAUCAUUAACUUGUAUAUGAUGCUGCUCUUUUAAUCGCAGGCAUUUGUGAAGAUCGCACAAGCAGUUUCUUCACGGCCGGAUAUUAUUCCGCCUGCAUACCUUGAUGAGCUCUCGCUACUUCAGGACCGCAUAGCGCCAUUUUCAACCGAGGCUGCUUUUAACAUUAUAGAAAAAGAGCUUGGGCUGCCACUGGAUAUGAUUUUCUCUGAGAUAUCACCUGAGCCUGUUGCUGCUGCAUCUCUUGGGCAGGUUUACCAGGCUAAACUUCGCUCCAAUGGGAAGGUUGUUGCUGUCAAAGUACAAAGACCUGGUGUUCAAGCAGCAAUUUCAUUGGACAUAUAUAUCUUGAGGUUCCUAGCUAGUCUUGCAAGGAAGGCUGCCAAGUUGAACACAGACCUCCCGGCUGUGCUUGACGAGUGGGCAUCAAGCCUAUUCCGGGUAAAUCACAUUUGAUACAGGAGAUGGAUUAUAGAGAAGAAGCAAGAAAUGGGCUUAAGUUCAGAGAGUUGUUUGGGAAAUUUAGAGAUGUCUCAGUCCCUGAAAUGUAUAUGGAACAGACUAGAAGGCGAGUCCUUGUCAUGGAAUGGAUAGAGGGCGAAAAGUUGUCAGAAGUCAGAGAUCAAUAUUUGGUUGAGGUUGGAGUAUAUUGUUCGCUUUCCCAGCUAUUAGAAUAUGGAUUUUAUCAUGCAGAUCCACACCCCGGAAAUCUUUUGCGUACGGUUGAUGGGAAAUUAGCCUACUUAGAUUUUGGGAUGAUGGGAGAAUUCCGGCAAGAACUUCGUGAUGGAUUUAUUGAAGCCUGUCUUCACCUUGUUAACCGUGAUUUUGAUGCUUUAGCAAAAGAUUUUGUCACUCUUGGUUUGCUUCCUCCAACUGCUCAGAAGGGUGAAGUCACGAAGGCAUUGACAGGUGUAUUUGAGAAUGCUGUCAACAGAGGAGUUCAGAAUAUAAGCUUUGGAGAUUUGUCAGGAAAUCUUGGAAGAACAAUGUAUAAAUUCAAGUUCCAGAUACCUUCUUACUUUUCCCUUGUAAUUCGAAGCCUUGCUGUCUUGGAAGGUAUUGCUAUCAGCUUUAAUCCAAACUAUAAAGUGCUGGGCAGUUCAUACCCAUGGAUUGCAAGAAAAGUUCUCACUGACAAUUCACCCAAGCUCCGAUCAACUUUGCAGGCUCUUCUUUGUAAGGUUGAAUUUGCAUUUGUAUCUUCAGAUAUUUUUAUAUCAUAUUAACUAUUGAGGUUUCGAUCACGCUUACAAGUUUAUAAGACCAAUAAUGAGACUUUACUCUGAAUUACAGUAUUUUUCAAGUUUCCUGCCUAUGUUAUGCCCAAGAUUUUCUCUGUAAAUUUUGUAAGUUUUGACUACCUUAUCUUUCUCCAACUAAAAUAUGUUACAGGAUGGCACUUUCCAAAUUGAUCGUCUCGAGUCUUUGUUAUCCGAGUCACUUCGUGCCAGAACAGAGCAAUCAUUGGUCAGAAAUCAACAAGAAGAUGUUGAUAGUGCGAGAUAUGCAAUUAAGCAAGUCUUGUCAUUCACGCUCACAGACCAGGGUGCUUUUGUGAAGGAUUUACUUCUUCAGGAGAUUGCUAAGGGAAUAGAUGCACUUGGUGUAGCUACAUUAAGCUCAGCAACAUCUGCAGCAGCCUCCAGAUUGCCAUUUGCUGAUGGUCCAUCUCCAUUAACCUCACUAGAUGACGAGGAUGUCACUAACUUGAGAAAUCUAUAUCGCCUGCUCCUACUUUUAUCAAAGGUUUCUCAGAAGGAAAAUUCAUCUCCGAUUCCUGGAAAUAACAGUGCCAUAGAGAAGGAAGGUGGUAGCACAGAUGAACUUUCUCUUGUGCUGUAUGAAAUAACAUCUCUGCCAGAAUUUUUGCCAGUUAUUUCCAUCAUUCCUGAGCUUCCGCCGGAGUCCCAACAGCAGUUGCUUCUUCUGCCAACAGAUUUAGCAAGUCGUAUUUUAUCUCGGGCUGUCGCUAGAACCAUUAGAAGAAUGUUCAUGUAAAGCUGAAGGUACAAGUUUUCCAUCCCUGCUUCCUUAAAUGUUUCUUUAACUGUUAUUUUGGAAUCACUACUAGAAGACAAGGAGUUUUUUUCCUUGCAGUAGCAUCUAAUCGAGAAUUAAAGAUCAAACUGAUUUUUUUUCUUUGUUAUGAUUUUGGGAUACUUCUUUAUUAUGUACAUAUUUUUCAAACAAAAGGAGGCCCUGUAAAAGGCCCUUUCUGUUAUGUCCAUAUGGUAUACUAAUGAAGUUUUGAGUUAAA